rnacentral:rRNA from 1 species
AACGAACGCUGGCGGCAUGCCUAACACAUGCAAGUCGAACGAGACCUUCGGGUCUAGUGGCGCACGGGUGCGUAACGCGUGGGAACCUGCCCUUAGGUUCGGAAUAACUCCCCGAAAGGGGUGCUAAUACCGGAUAAUGUCUUCGGACCAAAGAUUUAUCGCCUUUGGAUGGGCCCGCGUUGGAUUAGCUAGUUGGUAGGGUAAAAGCCUACCAAGGCGACGAUCCAUAGCUGGUCUGAGAGGAUGAUCAGCCACACUGGGACUGAGACACGGCCCAGACUCCUACGGGAGGGAGGAGUGGGGAAUAUUGGACAAUGGGCGAAAGGCUGAUCCAGCAAUGCCGCGUGAGUGAUGAAGGCCUUAGGGUUGUAAAGCUCUUUUACCCGGGAUGAUAAUGACAGUACCGGGAGAAUAAGCACCGGCUAACUACGUG